rnacentral:rRNA from 1 species
GACGAACGCUGGCGGCGUGCUUAACACAUGCAAGUCGAACGAAGUGGCGAACGGGUGAGUAACGCGUAAUCAACCUGCCCUUCAGAGGGGGACAACAGUUGGAAACGACUGCUAAUCCCGCAUACUGAAGGAGGGGAUUGCGUCUGAUUAGCUAGUUGGAGGGGUAACGGCCAACCAAGGCGAUGAUCAGUAGCCGGGCUGAGAGGAUGAACGGAGAAAUGGGGACUGAGAGACGGCCCAGACUCCUAGGGGAGGAAGAAGGGGGGAAUAGGGCGAAAGGGAAGAAAGUGUGACGGAGAAACGCCGCGAGAGUGAGGACGGCCUGCGGGGUGUAAAGCUGUGUUAAUCGGGAGGCGGUACCGGAAUAGAAAGCCACGGCUAACUACGUGCCAGCAGCCGCGGUAAUAC